UUAAGCGACUAAGCGUACACGGUGGAUGCCCUGGCAGUCAGAGGCGAUGAAGGACGUGCUAAUCUGCGAUAAGCGUCGGUGAGGUGAUAUGAACCGUUAUAACCGGCGAUUUCCGAAUGGGGAAACCCAGUGUGUUUCGACACACUAUCAUUAACUGAAUCCAUAGGUUAAUGAGGCGAACCGGGGGAACUGAAACAUCUAAGUACCCCGAGGAAAAGAAAUCAACCGAGAUUCCCCCAGUAGCGGCGAGCGAACGGGGAGGAGCCCAGAGCCUGAAUCAGUGUGUGUGUUAGUGGAAGCGUCUGGAAAGGCGCGCGAUACAGGGUGACAGCCCCGUACACAAAAAUGCACAUAUUGUGAGCUCGAUGAGUAGGGCGGGACACGUGGUAUCCUGUCUGAAUAUGGGGGGACCAUCCUCCAAGGCUAAAUACUCCUGACUGACCGAUAGUGAACCAGUACCGUGAGGGAAAGGCGAAAAGAACCCCGGCGAGGGAGUGAAAAAGAACCUGAAACCGUGUACGUACAAGCAGUGGGAGCCUCUUAAUGGGGUGACUGCGUACCUUUUGUAUAAUGGGUCAGCGACUUAUAUUCUGUAGCAAGGUUAACCGAAUAGGGGAGCCGAAGGGAAACCGAGUCUUAACUGGGCGUUAAGUUGCAGGGUAUAGACCCGAAACCCGGUGAUCUAGCCAUGGGCAGGUUGAAGGUUGGGUAACACUAACUGGAGGACCGAACCGACUAAUGUUGAAAAAUUAGCGGAUGACUUGUGGCUGGGGGUGAAAGGCCAAUCAAACCGGGAGAUAGCUGGUUCUCCCGAAAGCUAUUUAGGUAGCGCCUCGUGAAUUCAUCUCCGGGGUAGAGCACUGUUUCGGCAAGGGGUCAUCCCGACUUACCAACCCGAUGCAAACUGCGAAUACCGGAGAAUGUUAUCACGGGAGACACACGGCGGGUGCUAACGUCCGUCGUGAAGAGGGAAACAACCCAGACCGCCAGCUAAGGUCCCAAAGUCAUGGUUAAGUGGGAAACGAUGUGGGAAGGCCCAGACAGCCAGGAUGUUGGCUUAGAAGCAGCCAUCAUUUAAAGAAAGCGUAAUAGCUCACUGGUCGAGUCGGCCUGCGCGGAAGAUGUAACGGGGCUAAACCAUGCACCGAAGCUGCGGCAGCGACGCUUAUGCGUUGUUGGGUAGGGGAGCGUUCUGUAAGCCUGUGAAGGUGUGCUGUGAGGCAUGCUGGAGGUAUCAGAAGUGCGAAUGCUGACAUAAGUAACGAUAAAGCGGGUGAAAAGCCCGCUCGCCGGAAGACCAAGGGUUCCUGUCCAACGUUAAUCGGGGCAGGGUGAGUCGACCCCUAAGGCGAGGCCGAAAGGCGUAGUCGAUGGGAAACAGGUUAAUAUUCCUGUACUUGGUGUUACUGCGAAGGGGGGACGGAGAAGGCUAUGUUGGCCGGGCGACGGUUGUCCCGGUUUAAGCGUGUAGGCUGGUUUUCCAGGCAAAUCCGGAAAACCAAGGCUGAGGCGUGAUGACGAGGCACUACGGUGCUGAAGCAACAAAUGCCCUGCUUCCAGGAAAAGCCUCUAAGCAUCAGGUAACAUCAAAUCGUACCCCAAACCGACACAGGUGGUCAGGUAGAGAAUACCAAGGCGCUUGAGAGAACUCGGGUGAAGGAACUAGGCAAAAUGGUGCCGUAACUUCGGGAGAAGGCACGCUGAUAUGUAGGUGAAGCGACUUGCUCGUGGAGCUGAAAUCAGUCGAAGAUACCAGCUGGCUGCAACUGUUUAUUAAAAACACAGCACUGUGCAAACACGAAAGUGGACGUAUACGGUGUGACGCCUGCCCGGUGCCGGAAGGUUAAUUGAUGGGGUUAGCGGUAACGCGAAGCUCUUGAUCGAAGCCCCGGUAAACGGCGGCCGUAACUAUAACGGUCCUAAGGUAGCGAAAUUCCUUGUCGGGUAAGUUCCGACCUGCACGAAUGGCGUAAUGAUGGCCAGGCUGUCUCCACCCGAGACUCAGUGAAAUUGAACUCGCUGUGAAGAUGCAGUGUACCCGCGGCAAGACGGAAAGACCCCGUGAACCUUUACUAUAGCUUGACACUGAACAUUGAGCCUUGAUGUGUAGGAUAGGUGGGAGGCUUUGAAGUGUGGACGCCAGUCUGCAUGGAGCCGACCUUGAAAUACCACCCUUUAAUGUUUGAUGUUCUAACGUUGGCCCGUAAUCCGGGUUGCGGACAGUGUCUGGUGGGUAGUUUGACUGGGGCGGUCUCCUCCUAAAGAGUAACGGAGGAGCACGAAGGUUGGCUAAUCCUGGUCGGACAUCAGGAGGUUAGUGCAAUGGCAUAAGCCAGCUUGACUGCGAGCGUGACGGCGCGAGCAGGUGCGAAAGCAGGUCAUAGUGAUCCGGUGGUUCUGAAUGGAAGGGCCAUCGCUCAACGGAUAAAAGGUACUCCGGGGAUAACAGGCUGAUACCGCCCAAGAGUUCAUAUCGACGGCGGUGUUUGGCACCUCGAUGUCGGCUCAUCACAUCCUGGGGCUGAAGUAGGUCCCAAGGGUAUGGCUGUUCGCCAUUUAAAGUGGUACGCGAGCUGGGUUUAGAACGUCGUGAGACAGUUCGGUCCCUAUCUGCCGUGGGCGCUGGAGAACUGAGGGGGGCUGCUCCUAGUACGAGAGGACCGGAGUGGACGCAUCACUGGUGUUCGGGUUGUCAUGCCAAUGGCACUGCCCGGUAGCUAAAUGCGGAAGAGAUAAGUGCUGAAAGCAUCUAAGCACGAAACUUGCCCCGAGAUGAGUUCUCCCUGAGACUUAGAGUCUCCUGAAGGAACGUUGAAGACGACGACGUUGAUAGGCCGGGUGUGUAAGCGCAGCGAUGCGUUGAGCUAACCGGUACUAAUGAACCGUGAGGCUUAACCU
rnacentral:rRNA from 1 species